UAUUAGGUUGGCGCAAAAGUAAUUGUGGUUUUUGCCAUCGCUUUUUGCCAUCACUUUUUGAUGGCAAAAACCGCAAUUACUUUUGCGCCAACCUAAUA
rnacentral:pre_miRNA from 2 species